rnacentral:other from 2 species
AGUUCCCUGCGGUGUUCGUGAUGGCCCUGGAGGCUCGUUUGAGCCAACGCUUUACCUAAGAGAGCUGCGAUGUUUCGUGGUGUGCACGCCUCCGCGUGAGGAAGCCUGAAGCGAAACUGGUUAAUCCGAGAGCGGCUCCACCUGCUUUGCGCAGGUUCAUCCGACCUCCCCACACGGCAAUGCGGGGUUUUU